rnacentral:rRNA from 1 species
AUUUUAUUUUUAUAAUUUUUGUUUGUAUUUAGUUUUGUGGGUUUUAUAGUGAUUUUCAAUUUGAUUAUGUUAAAAUUUUAUUGUUUUCUUUUGUUAUUUUGGUUUAUUUAAUUGUUUAUUGGAAUGUUUUCUUUAUUUUUUAUUGGAUUGUAAUUAUUGUGGGAUUAGUAAAUUUAUUUGUUGUAUCGUUUUUAUUUGUGUUUAAUUUCUUUUGAGGAAUUAGGCAAAAUUUUUGUGUCCGCCUGUUUAACAAAAACAUCUUUUCUUGUUAGUUUUUGAAGUAUGGCCUGCCCGCUGACAUUGAGUGUUGAAGGGCCGCGGUAUUUUGACCGUGCAAAGGUAGCAUAAUCAUUAGUUCUUUAAUUGUGAUCUGGAAUGAAUGGCUUGACGAGGCACGAGCUGUCUUAAUGUUGAAUGUUUUAUUGAAUUUGGUCUUUGAGUUAAAAUUCUUAGAUGUUUUUAUGGGACGAGAAGACCCUAUAGAGUUUGACAUUUGGUUUAUUUAUUUGUUGGUUGUUUGUUUAUUUUGUUGGUGAGUAGACUUUUUGUUUUGUUGGGGUGAUGAGAGGAAUGUAGUUAACUCUUCUUUAUUUUGAUUAUAUUUAUUUAUAGUUAUUUGAUCCAUUUAUUUUGAUUAUAAGACUAAAUUAC